rnacentral:misc_RNA from 1 species
AGAACCACCUCCACCACCACCACCACCACUGGCGCCGUUCGUGCGCUCCUCCCACGUCCCGACGAUGCUGAAGAGGUCCUCGGCUCCCGACAGGCGGUGCCGGAGGUUGCGGUGGUCGCCGAUCACGAGCUCGCACAUGCCGCCGUCUUCCAUUGGUGGCCGCCGCCGCCGCGCGCAGGGAAGAAAGUGCCGUAGUGCACGGCUGGCACAGGAAUAUACGCAGGCUGUAGCUGCGGCCUAUGCACGUACUUGCUGUCUCAAUCGUGUGCUAAAUAUAGCCUCUGAUGAAUCUGAUCAUAGAAGAAGGGGUGGGAGCUGAGGAAGUAUGCGAAAAGUGAGGAAAAUUUUGCUUGCUCG